GUUACAACUUUAAACAAUGAAACUUAUAGUUUACGUUUAUCGUCAAGUGCACAUUAUUAACAUAUUGGUCAAUAAUGUUCUUGCAACAUAGUCGUUCGUAAUUCGUUUUUUAAUUCUUUUCAGUUGUGAAAAUGAGCUCUCCCCACUGCAAUUGGUGACCACAAAACAAAAGAAAAUCCUUGUGACAACUUCUACGUUUGGGAAAGUUUCUGCUAAUUUGUCUGCUUUUAUUAAACAAUGUAAAGCUGAGAUUCUUAAGCCAAC